rnacentral:rRNA from 1 species
UACGUAGGGCGCAAGCGUUAUCCGGAAUUAUUGGGCGUAAAGAGCUCGUAGGCGGUUUGUCGCGUCUGCUGUGAAAGACCGGGGCUCAACUCCGGUUCUGCAGUGGGUACGGGCAGACUAGAGUGCAGUAGGGGAGACUGGAAUUCCUGGUGUAGCGGUGAAAUGCGCAGAUAUCAGGAGGAACACCGAUGGCGAAGGCAGGUCUCUGGGCUGUAACUGACGCUGAGGAGCGAAAAGCAUGGGGAGCGAACAGG